UCGGGUGCCCGGCUCUGGCGGGGCGGGAGGGGCUGGGCGGGUCUUGCGCCAGGGACGCCCACCCGUCCGCCCGCCGGGGCUGGGCGAGGCGUUGCGAUCUGGCACUGCUAGCGGGCAGAGGCGGUGAGCGGGGGGAGGACGGCUGCGGCUCCGGCCGGUCCCCUCGCUUGUAGGCACUCGCCUCCCGGGACAGCCACCGCAGGCCUCUCGCUGCCCUCUGAGGGGAAGGGAGGAACCAAAUAGGUGGCAGAGAGACGCAGUGUGCUCUUCCGCCGCCCAAUCCCGCUGACGGUGCGCGGACCCUCCGCGCUCUUGUUCCCUUCCGCAGUCCGCGCCCUGAGCCGGGCGCCAGGGAGCUGUCCAUCCCAUUGGUUCUGAAUCAGGCGCUACGGAAACGCUCCAGAAUCUUGCUUCAGACCCCAUGGGGGAUGUUCCUCACAACUGCAGGUGGAGGAAGCAAGGGUUGUGUUAAUUAUUCCUCAGACAAUGUGUCCUUCAAGAAACUAGAAGAAGUUAGGCUUCCAAAAAUGAGACAGACAUUAGAAGAGCCCAUUUACAAGCAGCAGCAGGAGCAGGAGAAACAGCGAUGCAGAGGAGGUGAUUCACAACUUCCUCUGUGAUGAAAAAGGAAACAUGCAGGUCUGAGGUGUCCCCAGGGCCACUAGCUGGCUGUCAAGGCCACUGCUAAUCUGGAAUGGUGCCUCAAUCUUGAACAUUUGAAAUUGCUUCUACUCCAUUGUUAUUUUUGGUAGAGUUGUUUCUUAAAGAAAAUUGCUCCCUGAUCUUGUCUCUCCCUUGCUCUCAGACUAUGUGCAUGUUUUUAACACAUUUGGUCAUGAUAGUCUACUUUUCCUAAUCAUAUUGUUACUGUACUGUGAAAAAUGGAAAAUUUGAAUAUGUAGGUUGUAUGAUCUUACAAUGUAAAUUACUGAGACUUGCAAGGCAACAGUUUAUCAAUCCUUGAAGAUAUUUUUAUUUGAUAUCUUCUUAUGGAAUUCUUGUCUGCAAAUCUUAAGCUGAAAAUUCACUAGAAAUCUGUUUAGAAAUGAAUUACAAAUCACAAGGCUUAUUUUUUUUUUGAAUGUGCACUAAGAAUUGCUAUCAAAUUGUCCAUAAAGUCUGUGUACUGAUUCUCAAAACAACUGAUAAAAUCUUGAUUGUGAAAUGAAAAAAAAAUAAAAAAAGGAUCUGAACAGGUAUCUCAUGGAAGAAGACAUACACAUGGCACAUAAACUCAUGAAAUGAUUCUCAACACCAUUUGUCACUAGGGUACUGCAAAAUAAAAAAUGAUGAGAUACUACUUCACACCUAUUACAAGGACUAAAAAUCUGGAAAAUUGACAACACUGGCAAGGCUGCAGAGAAACUUUCAUCCAUUGCGGAUGGGAAGACAAAAUGGUACAACUUUUAGAUGACAGCUUCAUAGUUUCCUAUAAAACUAAACAUAAUUUUACCAUAUAAUUUAGCAAUCUCACGCCCAACUGUGCUGAAAUUUUAUGUCAUGCAAAAACCUGUACCUGAAUGUUUAUAGCAUCUGUAUCCAUAAUUGUUAAAAACUAGAAGCAACCAAGAUAUCUUUUAAGACAAAUGUAUGAAUAAACUGUUACACCCUAAAAUGGAAUAUUAUUCAAAGAUAAAAAGAAAUGAGUUAUCAAGCCCAUGAGAAGACAGAGGAGACAAAUUCAUAUCACUAACUGAAAGAAGUCAAUCUGAAAACCUAGGUACUGCAUGAUUCCAACUAUAGGACAUCUGAAAAAGACAAAGCUGUGGAGAUAGUAAAAAGGUUGUCAGGGGUACAGGGUAGGAAUCAUAGCAAAUGCCCCACACUAAAGUCAGAGGUUAGUACUAGGGGCACCUGUGGAGUUCUCUUUCAUAUACUGUAAGCAAUUUAGUGGAUGUCAGUGUGAAUGACUGUUGGCUGUAGACAUGAGAAGGAUUUUUUUUUCCCAAUGGGAGUAUAAUUGAUUUCCUUUUCACCACAAAAGAAGCCAAUUUUGCAUCUAUGAAACAAAUUCAUGUUGAUACUCUAUAUGUUGCCUCUCUAUAUAUCUGCUCUCAGAUUUUUUUCUUGAAAUCAGCUGAAACCAAUUUAUGUCUCUCAGGUAGUAAGCAAAAUUAGCUCUCUGAUAUUUGUUCACUUUAUAUUAAUAUGAAGUCAUGAUUUAAUAUUUUAAAAUGAAC
ensembl:lincRNA